UUGGAGGGCAAGUCUGGUGCCAGCAGCCGCGGUAAUUCCAGCUCCAAUAGCGUAUAUUAAAGUUGUUGCAGUUAAAAAGCUCGUAGUUGAACCUUGGGCCUGGCUGGCCGGUCCGCCUCACCGCGUGCACUGGUUCGGCCGGGCCUUUCCCUCUGGGGAGCCGCAUGCUCUUCACUGAGUGUGUCGGGGAACCAGGACUUUUACUGUGAAAAAAUUAGAGUGUUCAAAGCAGGCCUAUGCUCGAAUACAUUAGCAUGGAAUAAUAGAAUAGGACAUCGGUUCUAUUUUGUUGGUUUCUAGGACCGCUGUAAUGAUUAAUAGGGAUAGUCGGGGGCGUCAGUAUUCAAUUGUCAGAGGUGAAAUUCUUGGAUUUAUUGAAGACUAACUACUGCGAAAGCAUUCGCCAAGGAUGUUUUCAUUAAUCAGUGAACGAAAGUUAGGGGAUCGAAGACGAUCAGAUACCGUCGUAGUCUUAACCAUAAACUAUGCCGACUAGGGAUCGGACGGUGGUUUUUUUAUGCCCCGUUCGGCACCUUACGGGAAAC
rnacentral:rRNA from 1 species